CUCCUCCGAUUGAUUGGAAUCGGAGAAGGACCGUUGGGGUCAACUGC
rnacentral:sRNA from 12 species